rnacentral:rRNA from 1 species
GUGAAACUGCGAAUGGCUCAUUAAAUCAGUUAUAGUUUAUUUGAUGGUACCUCCUACUUGGAUAACCGUGGUAAUUCUAGAGCUAAUACAUGCAGCAAGUCCCGACUUCCGGAAGGGACGUAUUUAUUAGAUACAAAACCAAUGCAGCUUCGGCUGGUCCCUUGGUGAUUCAUGAUAACUGCUCGAAUCGCAUGGCCUUGCGCUGGCGAUGGUUCAUUCAAGUUUCUGCCCUAUCAACUGUCGAUGGUAGGGUAUUGGCCUACCAUGGUUGCAACGGGUGACGGAGAAUUAGGGUUCGAUUCCGGAGAGGGAGCCUGAGAAACGGCUACCACAUCCAAGGAAGGCAGCAGGCGCGCAAAUUACCCAAUCCCGACUCGGGGAGGUAGUGACAAAAAAUACUGAUACCGGGCUCACAAAGUCCGGCAAUCGGAAUGAGAACAACUUAAACCCCUUAUCGAUGAACAAUUGGAGGGCAAGUCUGGUGCCAGCAGCCGCGGUAAUUCCAGCUCCAAUAGCGUAUAUUAAAGUUGUUGCAGUUAAAAAGCUCGUAGUUGGAUUUCGGGGCGGUCCCGUCGGUCCGUCGUGAGACUGGCACUGACGGGCCUCCCUUCCUCUCGAAGUCCCCGUCUGCUCUUCACUGCAGUGGAGUGGGGAAUUCGUGACGUUUACUGUGAAAAAAUUAGAGUGUUCAAAGCAGGCAGCCGCUUGAAUACAUUAGCAUGGAAUAAUGGAAUAGGACUUGGGUCCUAUUUUGUUGGUUUCCGGGACCGAAGUAAUGAUUAAUAGGG